GUGAAAGUGAAAACAUGGAGUAUGAUUUCAAGACUUGCUGCUAUCGAAUACAGAUCGCCCCGUGAUCAAUUUGAUAGAUUAUUAACGUUUAUUAAUACCUAGAGUUGGUUUAGAAAAGUAGUUUGAAGUGAUUUGUAAAAGUUUAUAGGCAACUUUUGUAAUUUUAAAAAGUGACGUUGCGUCUUGUAAAGGGGCAUUUUUCUGGAUCAGACCGGUCUUCAGCAAAUCACAUUUUGGGUAUACAAUGACGGAUUUAAUCGGGAAAAAGACACAAUUGUGAUGUUUAUGUGACAUAUAGGAGUGCCAAGAAAGAAGCUCGUCAAAGCUGACAAACUAACCCUGAUUCAGAUGACCAUCCUACCCAUGCUAGAUUACGGAGAUGUAACUUAUAGAUCAUCAGUCUUUCUGCAUCGUCGUCACAUCUGUGGAGUCCAAUGUCGUCUUGAGUUUGGAGAAGACUGAGGCAGGUUGGAUGGCCUUGACGCUGCACUGCCCAGCCCACUACCCUCUCUCUCCUCGAUACAAGACAAUGCACUCCAGCAGA
ensembl:lncRNA